GACGUAGGAUGCGAGCGUUGUCCGGAUUUAUUGGGCGUAAAGAGCUCGUAGGCGGUGUGUUACGUCGGCCGUGAAAACCUGCAGCUUAACUGUGGGCGUGCGGUCGAUACGGGCAUCACUGGAGUUCGGCAGGGGAGACUGGAAUUCCUGGUGUAGCGGUGAAAUGCGCAGAUAUCAGGAGGAACACCGGUGGCGAAGGCGGGUCUCUGGGCCGAUACUGACGCUGAGGAGCGAAAGCGUGGGGAGCAAACAGG
rnacentral:rRNA from 1 species